UUCAAGAUCACCCUCUACGGGAGAACCAAGGAGCUGACUUCGGAACUAAAGGAGAACUUCAUCCGCUUCUCCAAAUCUCUGGGCCUCCCUGAAAACCACAUCGUCUUCCCUGUCCCAAUCGGUAAUGGCCAGUCUGGAUGAGGGGACGGGGACAUGGGGACUGUUCAGGCAGGAUGCUUCCCUACCAGGGAUCAGGGAGAGGAGGGACUCCGUCCUCAGCUUCAGUCACUGGAGCAGUGGAUGGUCCAGGAGCUCCUUGGAAGCCACUCUGGGCCCAGGAAGACUGUGCCCCACCCCAGGGUCUAUGGGACUCCCAGGGACCCAGGCCGCAAGUGCUCUUUCCUGGCAGUUUAGCCCGGGUCUGCCCAGACAAGGAUUUCAGGCCCAGGCCUGAGUAUCCAUUUCUCAGUCUCACUGGCCUGACACCUCUGGCCACCCUCCCAGGCCCCCUUGUUCUGGGCCAUCUCCCCCGACCCUCCCAGGCCUCGUCACCCUGGGUUUUGCUGUCCUGGCUGUCCUCUCUCCCCUGGGGACUUGCUCACCACUGACUUGGGAGCUGUCCUUGACUCCAGGGAGCCUGGCUUGGGCAGGAGGCUCCAGCCAGGCCAUUCAGAGAGCCACUGGCCUCCCCCAGGCUGAGAGACUGCCUGGACUGGUAAACAGGCAGGAGACCUGGGUGCCCGAGGAGCCUGGGAGCUGGGCCUCACUCAGGGCAGCCCCUCCCCAGGCCUUUCUCCCACAUCCCCUGCCCUGCCAUCCACCCCUCUGUUGCCCCAUCUCUGAAAGGAACCCCCAUAUCUUCUGCAGCUGGGCCAGGUGGGGCAGGGGCUGCCCAGGGGCAGUGCAGAGGACCUGGCAGUCAGGGAUCACACACACACACUCAUACACGCACACACACACACAGCUGCCUGUUCUGACGGACUUUCUCCCUAACAGACCAGUGUAUCGACGGCUGAGUGCACAGUGAGUGUGGCUGGGCGGCUGCGAGGGGGCUUGUGGGAGGCCAGGGUGCAGUGGGC
rnacentral:lncRNA from 10 species